rnacentral:lncRNA from 1 species
CCCAUGCAAACCCUCCAGUGAUUUCCCCCUUUGCUGGCUGGGUCACCCCAUUUUGCUUUUCCUUUCCAGAGGAUCAGCAGGAGCCCAGGGACAGCCAGGAUGGCAGUGCCAGCAGUGCCAGCAGUGCCAGCAGUGCCAGCAGUGCCAGCAGUGCCAUCUCCCUGAGGAUCGCCUCCGUCCUGCCGGGGCUCCGCUACGCCCUGCGCAGAGCGGCCGCUUCCUCCUGCAGCGCCCCAGGCAGCCCCCGCAUCCAGGAGCACCUCCAGGAGUAUGCAGAGCUCCAGGGAAGCUCUCAGGGCAGCCCUGGGCAGGGCAGUGACAUUCCCAGGGGUCCUGUCCCCUCUCCAGAGCAGGAUGGGGACGCUGGCCCUGCCCAGAAGCUCUCGGAGCAAUCCCUGGCCCGGCUGCGCCGUUACCUCUCCGACCCCGGCAGCUUCACCCUGGGCAUCUCAGCAGCCUUGCAGUGUCUCUGUGGGGCUGGCAGCAAUGUGGGAGCUGCUCCUGGGAAUUCCUCCUCCUCCUCUUCCUCCUCAGUGCCCCCAAAUCCUGCUCCUUCCACCAGAGCCACAGGAACAAUGCAGGAUAAGGGAGAGCUUCCCAGUCCUGCUUCGGAGAGAUUCCUGAAAAGUGUCACCUCUCCCAUCAAGCCCUGGGGUCGGGAGCUCAGGAGGAAAUCCAGCAGGAUCCUGGGGAAGAGCGUGUCACCCCUCAAGGCACAAACACAUCCUGGGGGGAACAGCAGCAGGAGCAGGGAGGCAGCCAAGAAAAAAAGCAACGUCGCUUCCUCCUGUCCCAAAAAACCGGGAUCCACGGGCAGUUCCAACGAGCCCAUGCUGAAAUUGGCCAAUCUGCAGCUGCCACAUGGAAGGAAAAGAGGUGCAGAGGUCCUGGCUGCAGAAAUUGUCCACAAGCCCCAGUGGGAAGGUGCUGAGAAGGAAAGUUCAGCUCCCAGUGGUCCUGCUGUGGAGGCAAAGAGGCCAAAAACCCUGGAAAACGUGGACACAAAGAAGGUUCCUGGCACUGAGAGUGGCACAAAGCCAGGGAAAAGCAAAAUGCAGAAAAACGUGGAAAACAGAGCAGCAAAACCUCCGGAGAAGCAGCAGGAGGAAGGGAGUGAGAGGAAGGAGCCGCUCUCGGAGCUCCCCAGCGAAGCCUCAUCCCAACCCCCCGGAGCAGAAAUCCCAAGGGAAGUUCAUCCCAUGGCAAUUCCCAGCGUUGCCUUUGCCCUGCCAGGGGACAACAGUGACUCCCACGCCCUGAACCUGCUGGCUGACCUGGCCCUGGGCUCCUGCCUUCCUGCCUUUAUUCCCAAGGAUCCUGGGGUGGUCCCUGCGGAAUGCGGGGAUUCCUGGGAUCAGCAGAGCCCUUCCGACCCCAAAUCCCUGCGCGUGUCCUCCGACCACAAAUACCACAGGGCAGACAAGCAGGGCAAAAAAUCCACUUCCAGCAAGGUAUCCCUGAGCCAGCCACUUCCUGAGCAAACAGAUUCCAGCCAGCUGGCCUCUCUUCCCAGGGAAAAAACCUCUGGAAUUUUCAGCGGGAGCAGCGGGGUUCCCAUCCCCGCCCUAUUCCAGGCCUUUCCUCCCCGCCAAGCUCCGCAGGCCUGCGAGGUGAACUCGCACUCCAUCAUCUCAGCCGAGCACUCCUACGCCUCCCCCAUGCCCGAGGAUCCCAAAGCAGCCCCAGAUCCCAAAGGGAACACCAGGAGUGCUCCUGCUGCUCCCUUGGUUGGGAAGGUGCUGCCCUUCCGGCACCAGCAGAGCGGCACCGAGCCCGCC